UACGUAGGGUGCAAGCGUUGUCCGGAAUUAUUGGGCGUAAAGAGCUCGUAGGCGGCUUGUUGCGUCGGCUGUGAAAUCCCGGGGCUUAACUCCGGGCGUGCAGCCGAUACGGGCAGGCUAGAGUCCGGUAGGGGAGACUGGAAUUCCUGGUGUAGCGGUGAAAUGCGCAGAUAUCAGGAGGAACACCAAUAGCGAAGGCAGCUCGCUGGGACGGUACUGACGCUGAGGUGCGAAAGCGUGGGGAGCAAACAGG
rnacentral:rRNA from 1 species